CCAUUUUCAAGAAAAACUCCCACAUAGAGAAAAUAUGGUUUCAAAAAACCUCAUAACUCUAUCGCAUGCCUCAAUGCUCCACAUAUAUAUCAUCCAUUACAAUCAAGUAUUUUCAACAAUAUUUCUCCUAAUUCAUCCUAACUCAAAGUUUGACCAAUGUAUUGAUUUAAUUGACCAAGAACUUGUGCAAAAAUUUCUCUAAUUAAUGCCAUAUUCUUGUGAGGUUGUAGUCCAAGCACAAAUAUCAAAACGCUAAACGCUCCUUAAUAAGACGAUGUUCAUAAAUAUUUCUAGCAAGAGUGGUCUUACCCGUCCCGGCCAUUCCUACAAUCGGAAUGAUUUGUAGAUCACGGUGAUCAUUUCAAGCAAGACAUCAUCGGCACCCACCAUAUGCGCAAUCGAAGAAGAUCUCAACGAAUCCAAAGCCAUUGAGUUUCUUUGCAUCUGAUAUUGGUCUCUUUGAUUUCCAUGGCCUCUUUCUUCAUCGAUUACCUUCAUACAAGGCAUCAGUGAUUAACUCAGAGAGACUCUACUCUAUGGAUACUUGUCAUAAUUUUAUUUUAUUUUAUUUUUGUGCACGUUGUAUUACUCUCUACGUAUAUGGAUAUCGAUCUCUA
rnacentral:lncRNA from 1 species